rnacentral:rRNA from 1 species
ACGUAGGGGGCAAGCGUUAUCCGGAAUUAUUGGGCGUAAAGAGUGCGUAGGUGGUUUUUUAAGCUUGAGGUGAAAGGCAAUAGCUUAACUAUUGUAAGCCUUGCGAACUGGAAGACUUGAGUGCAGGAGAGGAGAGUGGAAUUCAUAGUGUAGGAGUGAAAUGCGUAGAUAUUAGGGGGACCACCAGUGGCGAAGGCGUCUCACCGGACUGGAUCCGACAGUGAGGAACGAAAGCGUGGGGAGCAAACAG